GGCCGAGUGGCGGAACUGGCAUACGCGAGGGACUUAAAAUCCCUUGGGGUUUACGCCCCUUACGGGUUCGAAUCCCGUCUCGGCUACAA
rnacentral:tRNA from 1 species